AUGCAGGCCGAGCCGACAGGUGGCAGCACGGCACUGCAUGAGGGCACGGCGCUGCGCAGAGCCUGCCCCAAUCCAGCCCGGCCUACCCGAAUCCAGCCCCCUCCCCUUCCACCACGGGUUGGAAGCGGCAGGGAGAAGCUGAUUGCAGCCUUCCCUACAUGCCAGAAAAUCUUAAUAUCGUUUGGUUGGAGGGGAUCUCAGAGAUCAUCCAUUUCCAGCCCCUCUGCCGUGGGCUGGCCGCCCCUCACAAGCCCAGGCCUGCCCAGAGCCCCAUACCUGGCAAUGGGCAGCACUGUGCAUAGAAAAUAUCUAUGUGGGAUUUGCUUUAUCAUGGUGCUGACCAUGCAGAUUCUUUGCAUAGAUCUGUAUUGCAGCUCAGGAGCUGGAGAGGCCUACAAAGCCUUUGAGUAUCGAGAACGCCAGUUCCUCACUGGCCACAUUCCACCCAUCUGGAUACGUGACCUGCUGGCAGAAGAUGGGACCUAUAAGGAGCCUGUAUGUGUUCUGCCGCCUAUUGCAAAGAAACGGGCAGAGAGACGCCCGGAGAUGAAGGAGAGGAAGGAAGAAGUCAAGCUUCCUCCUCUGCUUGGACAGCUGGGAACAUCACAGGCAAGGACACACUUCACAACACCCCAAGUCCAGCAGCGGUUCACCUCUCCUAAGAGCACCACACAGGAGAGGGAGAAACCUCGACCAGUAAAAAUCUCCAGCAAGAAAUCUAGCGAGGAGAUUACGUGCCAGCUUCCUCGAGCAGAGAAGAGGACAGUGGCCCCUCCAGCACACAUGGCAGCGCCCAAUCACCAGUCACUGUGGGCGAGACAUGUCCUGUCCACCUUGGAGUCCUACAAGGUGAACCGGGAAGGAUGGAGGAAGAAGGUGGAGCAAAACUGGCUCCAUGCUGGCCGACCCAAGGAGUACAUCAGCUUUGUGAAGAAGAUGGAGCUCCAUGAAGCCAAUGAAAAACACAAGGGCAAAUGAGAGACCAUCAGGCGGGCGCAGUGCAACCAGCUCAUACUGUGCCCACUCACACCAUGGCCAUGAAAUUGAAGCCCCAAGAUUGGCAGUACCGGGGCUGAGAGGAGCCAUAUUGAUACUGUAGAUAACUCGUUUGUUACCAUCAUUGCCUCUGCUGUAACAGCAAAGCAGAGCCAUUCCCUUUACAUGAAGUGCCAAAUAAAGAUCAUUGGAACACCUUAUAAGUUGGGGGU
rnacentral:lncRNA from 1 species